rnacentral:rRNA from 1 species
ACGCUGGCGGCGUGCUUAACACAUGCAAGUCGAACGAUGAAGCCGGGUGCUUGCACCGGGUGGAUUAGUGGCGAACGGGUGAGUAUCACGUGAGUAACCUGCCCUUGACUCUGGGAUAAGCCUGGGAAACUGGGUCUAAUACCGGAUAUGACCAGUCCUCGCAUGGGGUGCUGGUGGAAAGAUUUUAUCGGUCUUGGAUGGACUCGCGGCCUAUCAGUUUGUUGGUGAGGUAAUGGCUCACCAAGGCGAUGACGGGUAGCCGGCCUGAGAGGGUGACCGGCCACACUGGGACUGAGACACGGCCCAGACUCCUACGGGAGGCAGCAGUGGGGAAUAUUGCACAAUGGGCGCAAGCCUGAUGCAGCGACGCCGCGUGCGGGAUGACGGCCUUCGGGUUGUAAACCGCUUUCAGCAGGGAAGAAGCUUUUGUGACGGUACCUGCAGAAGAAGCGCCGGCUAACUACGUGCCAGCAGCCGCGGUAAUACGUAGGGCGCGAGCGUUAUCCGGAAUUAUUGGGCGUAAAGGGCUCGCAGGCGGUUUGCCACGUCUGCUGUGAAAGCCCGGGGCUUAACUCCGGGUGUGCAGUGGGUACGGGUAGA